rnacentral:rRNA from 1 species
GAGUGGCGGACGGGUGAGUAAUGUCUGGGAAACUGCCUGAUGGAGGGGGAUAACUACUGGAAACGGUAGCUAAUACCGCAUAACGUCGCAAGACCAAAGAGGGGGACCUUCGGGCCUCUUGCCAUCAGAUGUGCCCAGAUGGGAUUAGCUAGUAGGUGGGGUAACGGCUCACCUAGGCGACGAUCCCUAGCUGGUCUGAGAGGAUGACCAGCCACACUGGAACUGAGACACGGUCCAGACUCCUACGGGAGGCAGCAGUGGGGAAUAUUGCACAAUGGGCGCAAGCCUGAUGCAGCCAUGCCGCGUGUAUGAAGAAGGCCUUCGGGUUGUAAAGUACUUUCAGCGGGGAGGAAGGUGUUGUGGUUAAUAACCACAGCAAUUGACGUUACCCGCAGAAGAAGCACCGGCUAACUCCGUGCCAGCAGCCGCGGUAAUACGGAGGGUGCAAGCGUUAAUCGGAAUUACUGGGCGUAAAGCGCACGCAGGCGGUCUGUCAAGUCGGAUGUGAAAUCCCCGGGCUCAACCUGGGAACUGCAUUCGAAACUGGCA